GAUAAACGCUGGCGGCGUGCAUGAGACAUGCAAGUCGAACGGACGAUCGAGGCUUGCUUCGAUCGUUAGUGGCGGACGGCUGAGUAACGCGUAGGUGACCUGCCCCGAAGUGGGGAGUAACUGCCCGAAACGGGUGGGCUAAUACCGCAUGUGGUCGGCGAUUCGUCUUCGUUCGCCUAAAGACCGCAAGGCGCUUCCGGAGGGGCCGUGCGUCCGAUUAGCUAGUUGGUGAGGUAACGGCUCACCAAGGCGACGAUCGGUAGCUGGUCUGAGAGGAUGAUCAGCCAGACUGGGACUGAGAACGG
rnacentral:rRNA from 1 species